UCAAGGUGAGAGAUACGGAGGUAGAGCACUGAAUGUCCUAGGGGGUAUUGCACCUACCGAAGACUAUCAAACUCCGAAUGCCGUCAUCUUAUACUUGGGAGUCAGACUGUGGGUGAUAAGAUUCAUAGUCGAAAGGGCAACAGCCCAGAUCGUCAGCUAAGGUCCCUAAAUGUAAGUUAAGUGGUAAAGGAUGUGGGAUUGCACAGACAACCAGGAUGUUGGCUUAGAAGCAGCCACUCAUUCAAAGAGUGCGUAAUAGCUCACUGGUCGAGUGAUCCUGCGCCGAAGAUUUCCGGGGCUAAAACUUACUACCGAAGCUACGGCAUCAGUAAUGAUGGGUAGGGGAGCUUCCCAUACGGGUUGAAGCAUGACCGUAAGGACAUGUGGACAGUAUGGGAGUGAGAAUGUUGGCAUGAGUAGCGAGAUGUGGGUGAGAAUCCCACAGGCCGUAAACCCAAGGUUUCCAGGGGAAGGUUCGUCCGCCCUGGGUUAGUCGGGACCUAAGCUGAGGCCGAAAGGCGUAGGUGAUGGACAACAGGUUGAUAUUCCUGUACUACCGAUAACCGUUUGAGAGAAGGGAUGACACAGUAGGAUAAGCUAAGCACACUGUUGGUUAUGUGUGCCCAAGCAUUGAGGCAGUCAAAGUAGGCAAAUCCGCUUUGAUAAUGCUGGGAUGUGAUGGGGAGCGAAAUUUAGUAGCGAAGUAGCUGAUUUCACACUGUCAAGAAAAGUCUCUAUCGAGGUUAAAGGUACCCGUACCGCAAACCGACACAGGUGGGUGAGGAGAGUAUCCUAAGGCCAGCGAGAGAACUGUUGUUAAGGAACUCGGCAAAAUGACCCCGUAACUUAGGGAUAAGGGGUGCCACCAUCAGGUGGCCGCAGAGAAUAGGCCCAAGCGACUGUUUACCAAAAACAUAGGUUUCUGCUAAGUCGCAAGACGAUGUAUAGGAGCUGACGCCUGCCCGGUGCUGGAAGGUUAAGGGGAUCUGUUAGAGCAAUCGAAGCAGUGAACUUAAGCCCCAGUAAACGGCGGCCGUAACUAUAACGGUCCUAAGGUAGCGAAAUUCCUUGUCGGGUAAGUUCCGACCCGCACGAAAGGCGUAACGAUUUGGGCACUGUCUCAACAACAGACUCGGUGAAAUUGUAAUUCCGGUGAAGAUGCCGGAUACCUGCGACAGGACGGAAAGACCCCAUGGAGCUUUACUGUAGCUUGACAUUGGGUUUUGGUACUACAUGUACAGGAUAGGUGGGAGGCUUUGAAACCAGGACGCCAGUUUUGGCGGAGCCAUCCUUGGGAUACCACCCUUGUAGUACUGGGACUCUAACCAUAGGCCAUGAAUCUGGUCUUGGGACACUGUCAGGUGGGCAGUUUGACUGGGGCGGUCGCCUCCCAAAAGGUAACGGAGGCGCUCAAAGGUUCUCUCAGUACGGUCGGAAAUCGUACGUAGAGUGUAAAGGCAAAAGAGAGCUUGAUUGCAAGACAUACAGGUCGAGCAAGGAUGAAAAUCGGACUUAGUGAUCCGGUGGUUCUGCGUGGAAGGGCCAUCGCUCAACGGAUAAAAGCUACCCUGGGGAUAACAGGCUUAUCUCCCCCAAGAGUCCACAUCGACGGGGAGGUUUGGCACCUCGAUGUCGGCUCAUCACAUCCUGGGGCUGUAGUAGGUCCCAAGGGUUGGGCUGUUCGCCCAUUAAAGUGGUACGCGAGCUGGGUUCAGAACGUCGUGAGACAGUUCGGUCCCUAUCCGUCGCAGGCGUAGGAAAUUUGAGAAGACCUGUCCUUAGUACGAGAGGACCGGGAUGGACGUACCUCUGGUGUACCAGUUGUUCUGCCAAGGGCAUGGCUGGGUAGCUAUGUACGGAAUGGAUAAGCGCUGAAAGCAUCUAAGCGCGAAGCCAACUUCAAGAUAAGAUUUCCCACCGCAAGGGUAAGACCCCAGAAAGACUAUCUGGUUGAUAGGUCGAAGGUGUAAGUGCAGCAAUGUAUUUAGCUUAUCGAUACUAAUAGGUCGAGGACUUGACCAA
rnacentral:rRNA from 1 species